AGCUCCAAUAGCGUAUAUUAAAGUUGUUGCGGUUAAAAAGCUCGUAGUUGGAUUUCUGUCGAAGACGGUCGGUCCGCUCUUUGAGCGUGUAUCUGAUGCGGCUUUGGCAUCCUCGUGGGGAACGUAACUGUGCUUGAUUGCAUGGUGCGGAAUUCACGACUUUUACUUUGAGGAAAUUAGAGUGUUCACGGCAGGCAAGCGCCUUGAAUACAUUAGCAUGGAAUAAUAAUAUAGGGCUUUUGUUCUAUUUUGUUGGUUUCUAGGACGAGAGUAAUGAUUAAUAGGGAUAAUUGGGGGCAUUUGUAUUAACGCGUCAGAGGUGGAAUUCUUGGAUUGCGUUACGACAAACUACUGCGAAAGCAUUUGCCAAGGAUGUUG
rnacentral:rRNA from 1 species